rnacentral:sRNA from 1 species
GAGUAGUGGCAGCCAAGGACCGGACCGUGGAGCCAGGCGGGGAGGCGGGAGGGCUGACUUUACA